rnacentral:rRNA from 1 species
GUCGUAACAAGGUUUCCGUAGGUGAACCUGCGGAAGGAUCAUUAUCGAAUAAAUCUGGCAUGGUUGUAGCUGGCUCUUAGGAGCAUGUGCACACCUGUCACCUUUAUCUUUCCACCUGUGCACCCUUUGUAGUCCCAGGAUACUCUCGCGCACUCUUGUGUUGCGGAUGCGAAGGUUGUCGUGCCUCUUUUGGCCGGCUUCCAUCGAAUUUCCUGGGUCUAUGUCUCUUACACACCCCUGUAUGUUAAUACGAAUGUUGAUUUCAAAUGGCUUCGGCCUAUAGAAACUCAAUACAACUUUCAGCAACGGAUCUCUUGGCUCUCGCAUCGAUGAAGAACGCAGCGAAAUGCGAUAAGUAAUGUGAAUUGCAGAAUUCAGUGAAUCAUCGAAUCUUUGAACGCACCUUGCGCUCCUUGGUAUUCCGAGGAGCAUGCCUGUUUGAGUGUCAUUAAAUUCUCAACCUCACCUGGUUUUCGAACUUGUGUGAUGGCUUGGACUUGGGAGUCUUGCAGGCUGCAGUUUACUGCGGCUCUGCUCUCCUUAAAUGUAUUAGCAGGUCUUUUACCUCUAUCCCAACGGUGUGAUAAUCUAUCUACGCUGCUGGUUUGGAGACCCUUUAUUGGGGGACUGGCUUCUAACCGUCUGCAAAGACAAAUGACUUAUCUUGACCUCAAAUCAGGUAGGACUACCCGCUGAACUAAG